rnacentral:lncRNA from 1 species
GAUACAUGGUUGCCAGAACAAGUUUUUUUCAUNNNNNNNNCUAUGGAAUCUAUUUAUUAAUUACUUUCUUUGUGAAAUGUACUAUUGAGCAAUUUAUUAGACACACUGAGCAACUCUUUCUUUCUCUCCUAUAGGACAUUACGUAAUUUCGAUUUGAUCGAUUAGCUCUUUCUUUACUCAUGGAAGAUAUCGGUGCUGUCAAAUAGCGGCUAUAGCACUAUAGCAUAGCAUAAUGUUAACAACUAUUGCUCCACGAUACGCGAUUCAGUACAAAGUUUUUUAAGUAACUGCUUUAGCUGCACCAUAAGCCUAUAACUCUAGCAUAGUGAAAUUUUAACUAACA